rnacentral:rRNA from 1 species
AACGUAGGUACCGAGCGUUAUCCGGAUUCACUGGGCGUAAAGCGCGUGCAGGUGGUUUGGUAAGUCGGGCAUGAAAACUCUUGGCUCAACUGAGAGAAGCUGUCCGAUACUGCCAGACUUGAGGGUGUGAGAGGGAGGUGGAAUUCCGCGUGUAGUGGUGAAAUGCGUAGAUAUGCGGAGGAACACCAGUGGCGAAGGCGGCCUCCUGGCACGCUCCUGACACUCAGACGCGAAAGCUAGGGGAGCGAACGGG